rnacentral:rRNA from 1 species
GUAGGUGGCAAGCGUUGUCCGGAAUUAUUGGGCGUAAAGCGCGUGCAGGCGGGUUUUUAAGUCUGAUGUGAAAGCCCACGGGCUCAACCGUGGAGGGUCAUUGGAAACUGGAGAACUUGAGUACAGAAGAGGAAAGCGGAAUUCCACGUGUAGCGGUGAAAUGCGUAGAGAUGUGGAGGAACACCAGUGGCGAAGGCGGCUUUCUGGUCUGUAACUGACGCUGAGGCGCGAAAGCGUGGGGAGCAAACAGGAUUAGAUACCCUGGUAGUCCACGCCGUAAACGAUGAGUGCUAAGUGUUAGGGGGUUUCCGCCCCUUAGUGCUGCAGCUAACGCAUUAAGCACUCCGCCUGGGGAGUACGGCCGCAAGGCUG